CUAUCGCAUGUACCUUCGUCCGCCUCACUCGUUCCCUCCUCUCGCCGAUCUCUUCUGCGGUGCACCUUCCCGGCAUUGAUCUCUCCCUCUUCUUUUCUGAAGACAAGUAUCUUCCUAUUUCUCUGAAGGAGAAGUGGAGGCGGCGUGCCCGGGAAGCCAGGGGACGCGCGACUAGCGAGCCCUAGAUUCUUCCUUGCUCCCGCUGCCAACAUCGCUGACCUAGCCACCUCCUCCCUGCCGCUGACGCAAGCCGUCAUCUCCCUCCGCCGUUGUCGCAGGCCAAGCUGCCUCCACUCGCUGGAAAUAUUGAGAAUUUUCUGUGAGACAUCUGGGAUAUUCCUUGUCAGAAACCCUCCCUGUCUCUCAAUCUUAUUAGAGGCAGGAGUGCACGAUGCAGAUAAAGGUAAAGUGCAACUGUGGUGAUGGGAAAUGCCCUGAGUGGGCGAUAAUUGAACUCCAGGGUGUUGUUGAAUCCCAGUUAGCUAUCAGUGAUCAGAUCAAUGGUCUUGAGAUUGGACAUCUCUGCUGCUCUUCGUUGUCUUCUUCCUCUCAGCUAAGCUACAUCUUCACUGUUGGUUACCAUGAACUCUCUGGCACAAAAGUACAGUUGAAGAAACCACUAUUGGUGUUAAAGAAAAAGGCAGCAGUAGAUGCUGCAGGGCCUGAAUUUCCUGCUUCCUCUGCCACAGAACUGGAAGUCAUUGGAAUCAUUCGCCAGAAAAUCCUGUUCAAGACUAGACCCAAAGCACUGAUAUCACGGGCACAGGCAAAGAAACUUUCAUAAUAAGGCAACCAUCCAAAGAUCAGUUGUCUCUCCUGUUUUACCUUCAAUGAUUCUUCUGAUGAGAUUGACAAGGGUAAAUGCGCAAGAAUUAACUCGAAUCCGAGCCCCAACCCAUUGCAUGUUUUAUGAUUAUGAGGAUGAGAAGCUUUAGGAUCGAUUCCACCUCCAAGUGGAACACCUCUUGCUUUCGGAUUUUGAUGCUCCUAUCAUUCAACUCCAUGUAGAUUUUGGACUCUGAAGCGACGACCAUAUGGGAAAGCAUUAAGAGGCCAAGAAGAGGGGUGUAUUCUUGUGCAGUCGCUCGCUUCUUAGUGCAUUUGCAUUUUUGUGAAUUCAUCUGUCGGCGUUAUGCAUAUUUGCAUUGCUAUAGGCACUUGCACUUACUUGCUUCUUUCCGUCGUAUUCUUUUCGCUUCGCGUAUGCACGAGGCUUAGUUCUGCAGACGUCCAUCUAAAACAGCCUUCUUUGCAGAUCAAAGAAUGUUAUUUCUCGUUUUAUAUGAAACCAUCAACUCGUGUGUAAUCAAAAUCAUACGUGUGAUAAAGGAACUAAUAGUAAAGGAUUCCUUAUUCUA